rnacentral:rRNA from 1 species
GAUGAACGCUGGCGGCGUGCCUAAUACAUGCAAGUCGAGCGAACAGACGAGGAGCUUGCUCCUCUGACGUUAGCGGCGGGCGGGUGAGUAACACGUGGAUAACCUACCUAUAAGACUGGGAUAACUUCGGGAAACCGGAGCUAAUACCGGAUAAUAUAUUGAACCGCAUGGUUCAAUAGUGAAAGACGGUUUUGCUGUCACUUAUAGAUGGAUCCGCGCCGCAUUAGCUAGUUGGUAAGGUAACGGCUUACCAAGGCAACGAUGCGUAGCCGACCUGAGAGGGUGAUCGGUCACACUGGAACUGAGACACGGUCCAGACUCCUACGGGAGGCAGCAGUAGGGAAUCUUCCGCAAUGGGCGAAAGCCUGACGGAGCAACGCCGCGUGAGUGAUGAAGGUCUUCGGAUCGUAAAACUCUGUUAUUAGGGAAGAACAAAUGUGUAAGUAACUAUGCACGUCUUGACGGUACCUAAUCAGAAAGCCACGGCUAACUACGUG